rnacentral:rRNA from 1 species
AGAUGUGGAGGAACACCAGUGGCGAAGGCGACUCUCUGGUCUGUAACUGACGCUGAGGAGCGAAAGCGUGGGGAGCGAACAGGAUUAGAUACCCUGGUAGUCCACGCCGUAAACGAUGAGUGCUAAGUGUUAGGGGGUUUCCGCCCCUUAGUGCUGCAGCUAACGCAUUAAGCACUCCGCCUGGGGAGUACGGUCGCAAGACUGAAACUCAAAGGAAUUGACGGGGGCCCGCACAAGCGGUGGAGCAUGUGGUUUAAUUCGAAGCAACGCGAAGAACCUUACCAGGUCUUGACAUCCUCUGACAAUCCUAGAGAUAGGACGUCCCCUUCGGGGGCAGAGUGACAGGUGGUGCAUGGUUGUCGUCAGCUCGUGUCGUGAGAUGUUGGGUUAAGUCCCGCAACGAGCGCAACCCUUGAUCUUAGUUGCCAGCAUUCAGUUGGGCACUCUAAGGUGACUGCCGGUGACAAACCGGAGGAAGGUGGGGAUGACGUCAAAUCAUCAUGCCCCUUAUGACCUGGGCUACACACGUGCUACAAUGGACAGAACAA